UACGUAGGGGGCAAGCGUUGUCCGGAUUUAUUGGGCGUAAAGAGCGUGUAGGCGGUCUGGAAGGUCCGUUGUGAAAACUCGAGGCUCAACCUCGAGACGCCGAUGGAAACCAUCAGACUAGAGUCCGGAAGAGGAGAGUGGAAUUCCUGGUGUAGCGGUGAAAUGCGCAGAUAUCAGGAAGAACACCCGUGGCUAAGGCGGCUCUCUAGUACGGUACUGACGCUGAGACGCGAAAGCGUGGGGAGCGAACAGG
rnacentral:rRNA from 1 species